CCCUGUAUAAGAAAGUGACUGUGCACUGCCUGUGUCCUAGUCGUUGAUACUGCAGGGAAAGGGUGCCGAAAGCCUUUCCCUGUGACUGGAAGAUCCACUCCUGUCCUUGCUAAACCCUGGUGCUUUUGAACA
ensembl:snoRNA SNORA71 Small nucleolar RNA SNORA71